AAACAUAUCUGGGGGCAUUUUCUUGUCAAAUCUUUAUAUCUCUCCCAGGCCUCAUAGAGGGUUUUCCCAUUUUAUUGUCUAAAAGUCUAGACCUCAGCUCUCAGUCU